rnacentral:rRNA from 1 species
CCCUUAGAUGUUCUGGGCCGCACGCGUGCUACACUGAGUAAUUCAAUGGGUAAGGGAACGCUAGAGCAUUACCUAAUCUUGAAAUUUGCUCGUGAUGGAGAUCGACGGUUGCAAUUUUCCGUCGUGAACGAGGAAUACCUUGUAGGCGCAUGUCAUCAUCAUGCGCCGAAUACGUCCCUGCCCUUUGUACACACCGCCCGUCGCUCCUACCGAUUGAGUGAUCCGGUGAGGCUCUGGGACCUGGACGGAAAGAGCGUUUCGCUUGUUCUGUUUGGGAAACUUGGUCGAACCUUAUCAUUUAGAGGAAGGAGAAGUCGUAACA